GGAGGAAAGUAGGGGAUCGCAAGACCUUGCGCUUUUGGAGUGGCCGAUGCCUGAUUAGCUAGUUGGUGGGGUAAGAGCCUACCAAGGCGACGAUCAGUAGUUGGUCUGAGAGGACGACCAGCCACACCGGGACUGAGACACGGCCCAGACUCCUACGGGAGGCAGCAGUGGGGAAUUUUGGACAAUGGGCGAAAGCCUGAUCCAGCAAUGCCGCGUGAGUGAAGAAGGCCUUCGGGUUGUAAAGCUCUUUCAGUCGAGAAGAAAAGGUCGCGACUAAUAAUCGCGACUCAUGACGGUAUCGACAGAAGAAGCACCGGCUAACUACGUGCCAGCAGCCGCGGUAAUACGUAGGGUGCGAGCGUUAAUCGGAAUUACUGGGCGUAAAGGGUGCGCAGGCGGCUUUGUAAGUCAGAUGUGAAAUCCCCGGGCUUAACCUGGGAAUUGCGUUUGAAACUACAAAGCUAGA
rnacentral:rRNA from 1 species